CCAUGCAACCCCCCCCCCCCCUGCCCACCCCUCUACCCCAUCCGCCCCAUUCAGCUCCUGCCAGCAGCGCCGUCCUGGAUUUUCUACCCCUUUAAACAGAGGCUGCUUGGUUUUCUGCAGCGCGACGGCGGGACACACAGUGAGAUUUAUAGAAACUCGUCGGCUCUGCUGAUGCGUCAUGGUAGCGUUCGUGCCAAAAAGCGCUCAACUUCCAGGCGUUAUUUUUAACUUAAUUAAUGCACACGUGGGAGAAGGAAAAAAAAAGGAGCAAGGCUCGAUUGCUGUAACACGCUUCCAGGGUAUGAUUUGGUCUUGUGAGGAGUAUGUUGGAGUGUGUGAUUCCCUCUCUCUCUCACUUUCUCUGUGUGUGUGUGGUGUGUGCGUGUGCGUGUGGGGGUGUGUGUGUAUGUGUGUGUAAAACCUUGUUGCCCUCAGGACAGGCAGCAGCCAGCAGCUGUUUGACGGAGGCAUGGACCCUCCACCAGCAACCAGAGAAAACUCCUGGCUUUCCUUUUGUGUGUGUGUGUGUGUGUGUGUGUUCCAGUGUUAUUUUCCCAUUUGUUACAAUUGUAUAUGGAGCACUUUGCUUCUUGCAGGAGUGUUUUGCGCAUGUUGCGCGAGAGCAGAAGCGCACCUGGAUGACGGUGGACAGGCUGCUGUCUCAGCUUUGCGCAGCCCCGACUGUUGACUUGCACAUGUUUGUUGCUUUGCUUGCUUGUUUGUUUGUUUGUUUGCUGCAGGCACGCAGAGAUCGUUUUCUUUUUAUGUUGGUCUGCGGGCUUCUGAGCGCGAGGUUUGAAGAACAACAAGGUAAAUGUUUUCAGAUCUGUGUGAGAGGUGUCAAUUAGACACUCAGGUGACCCAGAUUAUUUGGAGUGUAUUAUUAUUUAUAGUUAUUAUAUUUUAAAAAAUAUUGUAGGAAAUUGUAGGAUUUAAGAUUUAUUACAUUUGUAACACAUUAAUAUUAUUAUUAUAAACAAUUGUAAUAUUGGUGGUGUAAGUGAGGCGCAUGUUGCAUCAAGUCGAAAUGUAUAUUUAAAGAAUCAAGCUGUUUAUUAUUAUUAUUAUUAUUAUUAUUAUUAUUAUUAUUAUUAUUAUGUGUCUUUGCUUUCUUUUCUUUUUAAGAGACUAAGUCGACUUUUUUAUUCCCCUAAUGCUGUCAGGCUGCUCGUUAUAUUCAUGUGGUGCCGGGCCUCCAGCCCACAUGUCAUAUGGGAAUGGUUUCCGUCUAGUUUGGCUGCAUAAAGGCGGCUCUAUAUGCUGGAGCCUAUUAAGGAUCGGUGGUGACGGAGCAACUGCAGUCUGCUGGGAGAGCGGCGCGGAUCAGUUUGCUCGGAGGGGGAAAAAAAUAAGUCAUACAGUAUUUUGUUCGAAUUAGUUGUCAUUCGAACAAAAAUAACAUGUUCAUUAUUACUAUUCUAAUUACUAUUAUUAUUAGUAGUAGUAGUAAAAGUAGUAAUAGUAUUUAUUUAUUUAUUAGCUGUCACGAGAUAGCUGAUUUGAAUAAAUGCCAUCAAACACCUCACCAGCACCAGUCCACCGCUGCUGGCGAACAAUCGCCAUGGGAUGUUUUUCUCGCGAGUCGAAGAGCAACGAAAGCCCGAUUAUUAAUCAAUAAAUAAUCAGCAGUAAUUAGCUUACAUUCACUGGAUAUUUUGGGGAAGAUUGUCUCGCCUCCCUAUGAGCAGGAUGAGGAGGAAGAGCGGUGGUGAUUUUUCUUAUUGGCUUGAAGGAGGGAGGAGGGUGAAAAAUGUUUUUUUGCUUUGUUUUUUUUUUUAUGUACCUGUUGCGCCGACGGGGUACAGGGGUGAGCACCUUGUUAUUUUUUAAUAAUCUAUUUGUCAUGCUUCGGGUGAACAGGAAUCAUUAAAGGUGAACAUUUUAAAGGCAAGUUACAAACGGAAGCUCAGAAGGACUGCUGGUGGUAGACAAUUAAAAAGUGAAAUUAGAUGAAUGUCUGCCAGGUCAAUUAUUAUUAUUAUUAUUAUUAUUAUUAAUAAUAUAAUAAUUAAUAAUAUUUAAUAUUAUUAAAUGGCUGGCUUACCUUGAAAAGAAAAGAGAGAAUUUUGACUUUAUAUAUAUAUAUAUAUAUAUAUAUAUAUAUAUAUAUAUAUAUAUAUACCCUGAAUUACCUCCACAAACCGACCCGAUACAGCUGAGGCCUUUAAAUAUUUCCCGCACCUCAUUGACUUGGACAAAUGAUUCCACACGCUGCAACACCUUUUCUUUUCUUUUUUAAACAGGAGCAAUUAACAGCAAUUAGGCUACGCAAAAGAAAGUCUUGCUGUCCAACGCCAGCCAGCCUGGGGUAUUAUCUAUAGUUUUCCUGCAUCGUUUAAACGCCGAUAUUUAUUUUAUUUUAUUUAUUUAUUUAUUUUUUAAAGGGAUUUGGGGGAGGCUGCGUAGGGAAAACCUCUUGUUUUGUCUCGCAGACUGGAAAGAGCUGCGCCGCUGGCUCCGGCCCAGGAAGAGAGGUGGAGAGUUGCGCUGCUUCUUCUGAGCAGGAUCCCCACUCGUUUUUAUUAAGCCCUUUAAUUGGACUAAACGGGAGCAGACCAAAUUCAUUAUCAGCUCAAAGGGGAUCACGAACAGAAGAAAAGCAACGUUGGGAUGCAAAUUUGUUUGACUUGCUGUCAGUGGCGCCACCAAGGGCCUGCAAGAUCAUCAGUGGCCCCCAUCGAUGCCCUUUGAUACACGCGUGGACGCCCCUGUGUGCCUUUAGUUUAAUCACCUUAUUUGGAGCUUAUGUGUCAGUAUGUUGUCACUGAGGGUAUUGUUGGCCCUUUAUGAGCACGUGUCAGCCUUUUACAUUGUAAACGACACGUUUACACCAAUCACUUUCAGUUCCUAAAUCACUUUGAUGAAGCAAAAGCAAAGAUUCUCCAAGCUGAACAGAAAGACUUGGAAAGCCUUAAGGAUAAAAAAAAUAAGACUAAUGUAUUAUGUUGCACUCGGUGUUGCAGUUCUGUCCUCCAUAUUGGCUUAUAGUGUUUUCUGGGAUAUGUAUUAAAUAAAUCCAAGGAGUGGGCCAUUCAUAAAAUGAUUUCAGGAGUAUUAUCACGUAAUUAAGCUCUGAUUAAAAAUAAUAAAACAACAAGUUCCUACUCUUAAUUACAAGUAGGCUGAUUUGAUAUGUUAGAAUAUGAUUUUUUGUUCCUUUUUUUACUACUGACAUUUUUUUUUUUCAUUUUAAAAUAUGGUAGCUCUCAUAAGUUAGCGAGCAACAUAAAAAAAAACACAGGGCAUUUAUCACAGACAAAUAAAAGCAGAUUAAGUUUAAUAAACAAAUGGAAUCAAAUUUCAAAGACUAUUGCCCCUUUGUGUUUUCUUUUCAGAAUCGUCACUGCUAGACAUCCGUACAUAAAAAAAAAAUAACCAUGUAUAUGUAGAAAUAAAAAAAAGAGUACUUUGUAGAACAAUUUGAGUAUAUUAAUACUAAUAAAUAACGCUUGUAUAGGCUGGUACUUUUUUCUUUUUUUCUUUUUUUUUUUUUUUUUAAAUGCUAUGAGAAAUAUUUAAAUAAGAUUCCGGGCAGCGGGGUCAACGUGGUGGCGCCACAGCCAUCACAGUUUUACAUCAAACCCCCGCAAUUCGAUGAUUAACUGAAAAAUAUUCACUUCAAAAUAUAACCCACUGUAAUCUUUUAUUUCUUCUUUUUCUGCGUGUAUUCUCUGAGGCGGGGUUCCGACACUGUGGACUGGUGUGGCGUGGACGGCCUGUGGUGACUCUACCUCCCACUCCUACUCACACACGCACGCACACACACACACACACACACGCACACGCAGAAACAGAGAAACAUAUGCACAAAGCCCGCUGAAACACAAGCUUUAUCCGCGAUGGAGAGGGGCUUUGGGUCUGUGGAUUAGACGUUGUGCGCAGAUAACAUCGGCGCAUAUCAGAAAUGUGAAAUGGAGCACCUCGCGGCGCGGCGCGCGGGGGGAACAUCAAAAAGCCGCAGCGGGCCUUUCUUGUGGGCGCGGUGAGUAUUGUAAAUUUGCGAACUGUAGUUCUGACCCACUUGAUGUAACGGGAGAGUAAACACACUUAGUACAGCUGGAAGGAGGCAGGCGCUUGGAGUGAAACUAUAACGCCAUCGGCCGCAGAAUGACCCACCUCUUGACGCCUGACAAAGAAGUGAUGUUCUUUUGUCAAAAAAUGAUCAAAAAAAGAAGAAAAAAGAAAAAAUGAUCACCCAGAUUCCAGCAGCUAAUCAAUCACAAAAUCCAUUUGUCCCUAUAAAGUCUCGAGAGGAGCCCCUCUGCAGCCUCCUUCUCCUUUAAUGAAGCAGCACCCAGGAGCGGUCACGGUGAAGUCGCCCUGGUAAUUAUUAGACAUUAAUUGGGUUCAGGACCUUGUGCGUCUAUGGGAAAUGGGAAAUCUGACCGCUAAUCCAAGAUAUUUCUUUGGGGCCUUUUUUUUUUUUUUUUUUUUGCAGUGUUGUUAACAUGCUGUCAGAAGCUGCAGCGCUGCAGCUACCGAGCGGGGAAAUGGGAGAGGUUAGAGGGCAGCCGGUGUACAGGCACCAAAACCUGCAAGAGCAAGGUCUGAGCUGCAGAAAUGUUUCCAACCAAAGCAUUUUACACAUGAGAGUGCACGCGGGUUGGAAGUCUCCUGAUUCCUGGUGUAUCACGAAACAAAGAUCACGGGGUUUAUAUCGGAGCGUGAGAUAUUUAUGUAAAUAGAUAAGAAUGGAUAAAAUGGGAGCUCCAAUCUACAACCAGAAAUAUGAUUACAUUUGUUUUAAUAAAGUUUUUUUUUUUUUUUUUAAA